rnacentral:rRNA from 1 species
UACGUAGGGUGCGAGCGUUGUCCGGAAUUAUUGGGCGUAAAGAGCUCGUAGGCGGUCUGUCGCGUCGAAUGUGAAAACCCGGGGCUCAACUCCGGGCGUGCAUUCGAUACGGGCAGACUAGAGUUCGGUAGGGGAGACUGGAAUUCCUGGUGUAGCGGUGAAAUGCGCAGAUAUCAGGAGGAACACCGGUGGCGAAGGCGGGUCUCUGGGCCGAUACUGACGCUGAGGAGCGAAAGCGUGGGGAGCAAACAGG